rnacentral:lncRNA from 1 species
UAAAUAUUUUAGAAUUUAUUCAAAUAAUCAAAUUACAAAAUUGAAAAUAUGUAAUAAAUUUAAUUCUUAUUUAAUUCGACAUGCGUUCAAUACUUAAAAACAUCUUUGAUCAUUCGAACCACGAUAACCAUUUUCUAAUGUUCAUGAACAAAACAUUUAUAGUUAAAAGUCGACAUGCUACAUUAUUACCAACUGUUUGCAUGGUUGCUGUGCUUGGUGCUUACAUUAUAAGCUACAAAAGUAAACAAAAUUCUAUGAUACUUGAUUUGCUGUAAGACUGUGAUGUUUCUUCCACGUAUAUCUGGAAAUUAUAGUAUAUAAAUAAAAGUAUCUGUUUGUAAAUGGGAAUGAUUGUAUAUCGUCUCUGAAAGUCUGAACUAACAAAUAGAAAUAUGAUUGUGAGGAAUUUAUGGAAUUACUGAGGCUAUAACAAUCACUCAAUAAAAUAUUCAUUGUUGACCCAAGAUUAUAAUAUAUAAUGUCAAGACUCAAGAGUCAAGACCACAUUUAGAAGGUAAAUAUUGAAGAUGAUAAAUCAUUCUGCCAGGAAAAAAAGAUGCCUGGUGUACAACGCUUGAAUGUUUUGUUCAAAUCAAGUUCCAGACCCAUUACGAAGUUCAUUUAAAAUUAGUACUUCGAAUACCUUACAAUUUAAUUUAAUUUGUCUUCCACAACUAUUGAGAAAAUUAAAUUGGCUGGGAAAAAAUCAAAAACUCAAUACUAUGUAAAGGAGACUACACAAAACUAACGAAAAUAAACAAUUUUGUAGUUUAAAACUAUUUGAGCUUAAUUAUUGUAAAAAUAUUAACUCUUCGCGCCGAGAUACAUAAAAAAAAUGUUUAAAUUAGUGGCUUACUAAAAUGUAAUGGAUCAAUCAUGGGUCACUAAAUUGUAUUUCACACCUGACUAUAAAUUCACUGAAUAUCUAUAGUGAUAGUUUCUUUUAUGUAUUUUAUGUUUUAUUUCUUUUAUUCUCUUAUGUCUCGGUUAAAUUUUUACUAUUAAGUUUAAUAUAAAUUAUAAUAUGUGAAAAUAAUGGGCAUUUAUUAUUUAAUAUACCUAUUCAAUAAAAAGAAUUCAACUUUUGUAAACUCAAUAGAACAUUCUGAGAUUAAAGAUAAUAAAUUGGCAAUUUUAAAUUGUAUUACUUUAUAAAUGAAUACAUUUUUAAACAAAUAAUAAGGAAAACUGACAUGAGAAUAGUAGAACACAUAUUAUUAUAACGUUAUUAGUUGUUAUCUUAAUGACUUAGGGCCCGUAUUACAACAGUCGAUUAUGUUUAACCCACUGAUUUUACCGGCUGAAUUCCGCUGUUUAACCUUAGAUCAACUGUUGUAAUACGGGCCUAACUAUUGUAAUAGAUUUGCUUUUAUCAACAAAUUUUCUAAAAAUAAAUUGAUAAGUACCAUUUUUUAUAUAUAGUUAAUAGUUGUAUAAUUUCAAUCUUCAUCUGAUUAAUAAAGUUAUUGUUAAAUGA